AAGUCGUAACAAGGUUUCCUAGGUGAACCUGCGGAAGGAUCAUUAACACGUAUCCAAACGUUAACCCCCCCCGUGAACCUUCAUCCUGCUCUUGUAACCCGCGUAGUUCGCAAUCUCUGAACUGUGGGGUUAUUAGGGGGCAUGGGGACCCUUUGGCAAAGCUCCUGCCCGAAUGUACGGUCUACAGGAAUCGUAGAAGCGCUAUCCUUGCACAAUCAAUGACACUUUCCGACACUGACUGCUUGGGGAAGCAUUGCCUAUAGAACUACCGCUCGAUUGUAACUGUUCCAAUGUUCGCACGUAGCCAGAGGUCUCUGAAUCACUACAACUUUCCGGUUAAAUGUGAAGCUCAAUGUAAUACAUUGGGUAAAAAAACCGAACAAAUGUUAACAAUGGAUAUCUUGGUUCUC
rnacentral:misc_RNA from 1 species